rnacentral:misc_RNA from 1 species
UCCGGUUUAGCACCGGCAGUCCUCCCAGAGUCCCCGCCAUGACGCGCUGGCAACUGGGAGCGGGGGUUGCGCUCGUUGCGGGACUUAACCCAACAUCUCACGACACGAGCUGACGACAGCCAUGCAGCACCUGUGUCCUGGUCCCCGAAGGGAAAACCGGAUCUCUCCGGCGGUCCAGGCAUGUCAAAAGGUGGUAAGGUUCUGCGCGUUGCUUCGAAUUAAUCCACAUGCUCCGCCGCUUGUGCGGGCCCCCGUCAAUUUCUUUGAGUUUUAGCCUUGCGGCCGUACUCCCCAGGCGGGGUACUUAAUGCGUUUGCUGCGCCACCGAAGAGCAAGCUCCCCGACGGCUAGCACCCAUAGUUUACGGCGUGGACUAC